GGGACACUUUACUUGGUAGGACCACUACAGCUUAAUGUAUUGGUUCUUUUGUCUGCAGCGUGUCCCUGCAGGCUUGGCAUUGUAAAUGCUGUCUAUUUAGAGAAAAGGCAGUGUUUACUUUGCAGACUAGCAACACCAGUAGUGGCUGUCACUCAGACAGCCUCUAGAGGGACUUCCUGGGUUAGGUCCUGCAGUGUUUGCAGGAUCUACAUCAGGGGUCAAGUCCUGCGUUAAAAAUCAGCCAGAUUGUUUUCCUGGCACUGGAGUUUCCCUUUAAUCUCAGUCUUAGUGUGUCUGGAUAUGUUAAAUAUCACUCCAUCAGGAGUAAAG